rnacentral:lncRNA from 10 species
GUAUUUCUAAGUAAGCUGAGGCUGUGUUUAAAUGCAUCCCAACUUAGCUCCCUGAGAGUGACUCAGCUCCCUUGGGAGGAGAGGUGUAUUAAACAUUCAAUAACUGUGUUUUUGGGGUGGUGGCAAAUACCAGUGCUGGAAGAUACCCUACUGUUAUAACCAGCUCCCCAUUCCCUCAGCUAAAAAAUCAUCAUCCCAGAGAAGAGAGAGGCAGGAAUUUCUCUGCAAGCCAGAGAGAGAUGAACAUCAGACAUCUGGAAAGAAAAGCUGAGAAUUCUAAACAGUAAAGAGCCAUAGCCUUGGAGAUCUGAGGGCUGCUAAUCGCUCCCACUGGACGGCUUUCUGGCUACUCUGCCACCGAGCACCCUUCAGAGCCAGGAGUCCGUCGCCUGCCGCAUCUGCCUGGUCUCCCUUUGUAAUUGGGUGCAUCUUGAGAAAAGCUGGGAAGCUUGGGCGACAGCUUCCCCCUUCCCUUUUGGUGAGAUAACCAGCUCAUUAAAUCUAAACGUGAAGGGCAUUUUAUUAUGAAGAGUCAGACCCAAAGAUUUACUUGCCCAUUUUUCACCUGCUUCCCCAUCCUGCUUAUUCCUUUGUAUUCGCUAAUGGUCUUUCUCUAAGUUAUAUAAUCCUGUCACGAGUAUAAAAAUAUCACUCCAAGGCUGCUCAUUUGGCCUAAAUCAUUCAGCUGUUAGCAGUGGCAGGGCAGGUGUCUGAACCACACUGGAGGCAGGAGGACAGCUGUCCCACUCUCUAUUUGUUGUCGCAGGGCUAAGAAAUGCAGAGAUUUUAAUAAGAUCAUAAAGUAGAGUGACAUGGACUGGUAUGAUAGGUGGUUUUCAUUAGCAUUCAGAAUGCCUGGGAUAAUAAAUUAGAGCAAUUGAGCAGAAAUGGGCAAUUUGAUUAUUCAACAUUUUUCAGUACCAGCCCAAGCAGCUGGACCCAGAGCUGUUCUGCUGACUUCUCCCCAUGCAGUCGGGCUGGUGGGGCACAGGUGAAUGCACAGCUAUCAUUUUCUCCUACCCAGACUCCAGAGUGAGAGCCUUGGACAUUGUCUUACAUGCUUGCAAAUUCUACUUCCUUUUAGUUCUUCAGCCAAUAGCUUAAUAGUUUCUCAGAAAGUGUGGAUGGGAGCAGAAUGAAAGCCAAGUGACCCAGGAAGAACCUUGGGAAUAGAGCUCUGCAGUGGCGGCUCUGAGAGUACUGCCCGAAGCUGCAACACAGGGGGAAGCUUAUGGGGCAGUGGCAUGGAGCCUUAAUUUUGGAAUAUUAAAGAGAUGUGCUCUGAAGUCCAGAGUUCGGUUCAAAUCCUGAUUUAAGUACUCACAGACGUGUGACGUUUGAUGACGAAGUUGACUUCUGAGAAUUGUUUGUCUCACGUACAAAGUAGGGAUAAUAAUUUAGUCAUGUCAUGGGAUUGCUGUGUGGCUUAAUUACGUGUGAAUGAUUUAAGGUAGCUCAGGAUGCAGAAUUUAGUCCUCUCCUCUAUUAAUACACACUCCCUCGGUGGUCUCAUGUGAUCUCAGGACUUCAAAUACCAUCUGUAUACUGUGACCCCCAAUUUAUACAUCGAGCUAAAUUUCUCCCCUGAACUCCAGACUUGUAUAUCAAACUGUGUACUAGAAAUCUCCUCUGUGAUGUCUAACAUGCAAUUAAUAACAUAUCCCAAACUGAGUUAUUUAUCUCCACCCCCUCAUCAACCUUCUCUUGUAGCUGUUCUCCUAGGCGAAACUACCUUCCUCAUUCCUCAGGCCAGAAUCUCUGGAGACAUCCUUGACUCCUCUUUUUCUCUCAAGCUCCAAAUCCAAGUCAUUUGUAAUACUUUGGGGUCUAACUUCAAAAGAAUUCCAGAAUCCUUUCACUUCUCACUAUCUCCUCUGCUAAAAAUCAGCUUGACAUAGUUGACAUUUAUAGAAUUCUUCAUCAAACAACAGAAGAGACAUAUGCUUUUCAAUUGCUCCUGGAACAUUUACCAAGAUAGGCC